GAUGAACGCUAGCGGCAGGCCUAAUACAUGCAAGUCGAGGGGUAACAGGAAGUGCUUGCACUUCGCUGACGACCGGCGCACGGGUGAGUAUCGCGUAUACAAUCUGCCUCAUACUAGAGGAUAGCCCGAAGAAAUUUGGAUUAAUACUCUAUAGUAUCUUAGAAAGGCAUCUUUUUUAGAUUAAAGGUUACGGUAUGAGAUGAGUAUGCGUUCUAUUAGUUUGUAGGUGUGGUAACGGCACACCUAGACUACGAUAGAUAGGGGCCCUGAGAGGGGGACCCCCCACACUGGUACUGAGACACGGACCAGACUCCUACGGGAGGCAGCAGUAAGGAAUAUUGGUCAAUGGACGAAAGUCUGAACCAGCCAUGCCGCGUGCAGGAUGACGGCCCUAUGGGUUGUAAACUGCUUUUAUACAGGAAGAAAAACUUUCUCGUGAGAGAGCUUGACGGUACUGUAAGAAUAAGGAUCGGCUAACUCCGUGCCAGCCGCCGCCGUAACAC
rnacentral:rRNA from 1 species